UGGGGCGCCCUCCCUCUCCCCACUGGGCGGGCUUACAUGCGGACACGCCCACUCUGCGGACCUCCGCCGGCUGUGCGACGGGGUUGCCCCUUGCCCUUCGCGCCUCUUUGACUCGCGCCUAGACUACCCCUCCGCAGCUGGACCACCACCCGCGCCUCGGGUGUACAAAGUGGCAGCAGGCUGCUCCUUCCUGCUUCCCUCGCAGGAGAUUCCUUGGAAUGAAACCAAUGGGAGUCCAGGCUUUGGGAGAGUCUCAUCAGAGCAGAUGGGCCAGCAGCAGCCAGAAAGCUUGUUGCCUUUGGCUGAGAGCACCAUCCUGGAAGUGAACAUCUUAUAGCUACCCCUGAACAGGAACACACAAAAAAAUUUAAGCUGUUACUGAAACACAGAAGAUGGAAGGAAACUGAUGCUGCCAACGUGCCAAAUGACCAACGGGAAGAAUGUCUGUUAUCAAGUUCAAAUGAGGCCUAAGUUGCUCUGGGCAAGGCUCAGUCAAGGAAAAUUCAGGGGAGUGGACUGAACUAGGUUUUGUGUAUUGGGUAUAUAUUGCUAUGUAACAUAUUACCCCAUGUUGGGUAUUGGUUGUCUAUUGCAUAAUAAAUUACUUGGAUUAACUGGCUUAGAGAAU
rnacentral:lncRNA from 1 species